AACGAACGCUGGCGGCAGGCUUAACACAUGCAAGUCGAACGCAUCCUUCGGGGUGAGUGGCAGACGGGGGAGUAACGCGUGGGAAGGUGCCCUUCAGUUCGUGAUAAACCAGGGAGACGUGGGCUAAUCCCGGAUACGUGCGAGAGCAGAAAGAUUUAUCGCUGAAGGAUCGGGCAGCGUCUGAUUAGCUAGUUGGUGGGGUAAUGGACCAGCAAGGCGCAGAUCAGUAGCUGGGCUGAGAGGACGAUCAGCAACCUUAGGACUGAGAAACGGCCCAAACUCCUACGAGAGGCAGCAGUGGGGAAUAUGGGACAAUGGGCGCAAGCCUGAUCCAGCCAUGCCGCGUGAGUGAUGAAGGCCUUAGGGUUGUAAAGCUCUUUCGUCCGGGACGAUAAUGACGGUACCGUAAGAAGAAGCCCCGGCUAACUUCGUGCCAGCCGCCGCGGUAACAC
rnacentral:rRNA from 1 species